GUUUAGAUGGUCUUUGAUUUCUCUGUGUUUCACAGCACAUUAUUAUGUGUCCUCAGGACAGUUCAGUGUUGAACAGUCUUCAAGAGAAAUCCCUGCAAAUGAAGGUGCUCAAGUUAUUGUAAUGUGUACUUAUACUACUUCUGGAACUCCAGAUCUCUUCUGGUACAAAUAUUUUCCAAACAGAUCACCAACAUUAAUUCUGAGUCAAUACACCACUGAGCCUGAUUUUAAGAAGAGAUUUUCUGCAACACUGAACUCCACAUCAAGAACAUUUCCAUUGAUGUUCAAGAACCUGUGUCUGACUCUGCUGUGUACUACUGUGCUCUGAGGCCCACAGUGACUGAAACACACUCAACACUCAAGAGCUGUCUGGAAGAGGUGGGGUUUAAAGCACUUAUACCUGAUGUGAUCUUUAAAUUCAAGUCUGUUAGAGAGAGAAUACGAAACACACACAAUGAUGCUCCAUUCUGUCAUUCUAAUUUCUGCCUUUGCAUAUGCAAUGCAUGGAAAUGAAAUCAAACCAACCAAAACACUGGAGUUUGCUGAUGAGGGUUUAAGUGUUAAAUUAUCCUGCAGUUAUUCAUCUGCAUUAACUCUCUACUGGUACCGUCAGUAUCCCGGAUCAGCUCCUCAGUUUAUUGUGUUCAUCUCAGAUGGAUCAAAACAAGCUCAGGAGUCUAAUGUAGAUUCCAGAUUCACUGCCAAAGUCACAAAAGACAAAGAAAGCCAUGUGGAUCUGGAGAUCUCCUCUGCUGCUGUAUCAGACUCUGCUCUGUACUACUGUGCUCUGGAGCCCACAGUGA
ensembl:lncRNA